AUGCAGAUACUCAACGAGCAGCUGGCUGCACCAUCCACAGGCCUAAUGGUGAAGGAGUCUGCGUCCCCGGGGUCGGGGUCGGGAUCGGCAGGGGGGGCUGCUGAGAAGAUGGGGAGAGGGAGGAUCGAGAUCAAGCGCAUCGAGAACACCACGAACCGGCAGGUCACCUUCUGCAAGCGCCGCAACGGCCUCCUGAAGAAGGCGUACGAGCUCUCGGUGCUCUGCGACGCCGAGGUGGCGCUCAUCGUCUUCUCCGGCCGCGGGCGCCUCUACGAGUACUCCAACAACAGCGUGAAAGCAACCAUUGAGAGAUACAAGAAGGCAACAAGUGACACCUCCAGCGCUGGUACAGUCGCAGAGAUCAAUGCCCAGCACUACCAGCAGGAAUCUGCGAAGCUGAAGCAGCAGAUAACCACCUUGCAGAACUCCAACAGGACUCUAAUAGGCGAUACAAUGGCCACCAUGAGCCACAGAGACCUGAAGCAGCUGGAGGGAAGGCUGGACAAAGGCCUAGGAAAGAUUAGAGCAAGAAAGAACGAAUUACUAUGCGCUGAAAUUGAGUACAUGCAGAGAAGGGAAAUGGAGCUGCAGAAUAACAACUUCUUCUUGAGGGAAAAAGUAGCUGAGACUGAAAGGGGGCAACAGCAGACGUUGAACAUGAUGGGGGCGGCUUCGACAUCGAAUGAGUACGAGCAAAAUAUGAUCCAUUGUGAUCCGAGAACCUUCCUGCAGUUCAACUUCAUGCAGCAGCACCCUCAGUACUGCUCCCAGCAGGAGGACCGAAAAAGUUUCAACUCAGUUGGAAGGUGA
rnacentral:rRNA from 1 species